rnacentral:rRNA from 1 species
GAUGAACGCUGGCGGCGUGCCUAGUACAUGCAAGUCGAGCGAACAGACGAGGAGCUUGCUCCUCUGACGUUAGCGGCGGACGGGUGAGUAACACGUGGAUAACCUACCUAUAAGACUGGGAUAACUUCGGGAAACCGGAGCUAAUACCGGAUAAUAUAUUGAACCGCAUGGUUCAAUAGUGAAAGACGGUUUUGCUGUCACUUAUAGAUGGAUCCGCGCCGCAUUAGCUAGUUGGUAAGGUAACGGCUUACCAAGGCAACGAUGCGUAGCCGACCUGAGAGGGUGAUCGGCCACACUGGAACUGAGACGCGGUCCAGACUCCUACGGGAGGCAGCAGUAUGGAAUCUUCCGCAAUGGGCGAAAGCCUGACAGAGCAACGCCGCGUGAGUGAUGAAGGUCUUCGGAUCGUAAAACUCUGUUAUUAGGGAAGAACAAAUGUGUAAGUAACUAUGCACUUCUUGACGGUACCUAAUCAGAAAGCCACGGCUAACUACGUG